GACGAACGCUGGCGGCGUGCCUAAUACAUGCAAGUAGAACGCUGAAGAGAAGAGCUUGCUCUUCUUGGAUGAGUUGCGAACGGGUGAGUAACGCGUAGGUAACCUGCCUGGUAGCGGGGGAUAACUAUUGGAAACGAUAGCUAAUACCGCAUAAAAUUGAUUAUUGCAUGAUAAUUAAUUGAAAGAUGCAAUUGCAUCACUACCAGAUGGACCUGCGUUGUAUUAGCUAGUUGGUGAGGUAACGGCUCACCAAGGCGACGAUACAUAGCCGACCUGAGAGGGUGAUCGGCCACACUGGGACUGAGACACGGCCCAGGCUCCUACGGGAGGCAGCAGUAGGGAAUCUUCGGCAAUGGGGGGAACCCUGACCGAGCAACGCCGCGUGAGUGAAGAAGGUUUUCGGAUCGUAAAGCUCUGUUGUAAGAGAAGAACGGGUGUGAGAGUGGAAAGUUCACACUGUGACGGUAUCUUACCAGAAAGGGACGGCUAACUACGUGCCAGCAGCCGCGGUAAUACGUAGGUCCCGAGCGUUGUCCGGAUUUAUUGGGCGUAAAGCGAGCGCAGGCGGUUAGAUAAGUCUGAAGUUAAAGGCUGUGGCUUAACCAUAGUAUGCUUUGGAAACUGUUUAACUUGAGUGCAGAAGGGGAGAGUGGAAUUCCAUGUGUAGCGGUGAAAUGCGUAGAUAUAUGGAGGAACACCGGUGGCGAAAGCGGCUCUCUGGUCUGUAACUGACGCUGAGGCUCGAAAGCGUGGGGAGCAAACAGGAUUAGAUACCCUGGUAGUCCACGCCGUAAACGAUGAGUGCUAGGUGUUAGGCCCUUUCCGGGGCUUAGUGCCGCAGCUAACGCAUUAAGCACUCCGCCUGGGGAGUACGACCGCAAGGUUGAAACUCAAAGGAAUUGACGGGGGCCCGCACAAGCGGUGGAGCAUGUGGUUUAAUUCGAAGCAACGCGAAGAACCUUACCAGGUCUUGACAUCCCUCUGACCGCUCUAGAGAUAGAGUUUUCCUUCGGGACAGAGGUGACAGGUGGUGCAUGGUUGUCGUCAGCCCGUGUCGUGAGAUGUUGGGUUAAGUCCCGCAACGAGCGCAACCCCUAUUGUUAGUUGCCAUCAUUCAGUUGGGCACUCUAGCGAGACUGCCGGUAAUAAACCGGAGGAAGGUGGGGAUGACGUCAAAUCAUCAUGCCCCUUAUGACCUGGGCUACACACGUGCUACAAUGGCUGGUACAACGAGUCGCAAGCCGGUGACGGCAAGCUAAUCUCUGAAAGCCAGUCUCAGUUCGGAUUGUAGGCUGCAACUCGCCUACAUGAAGUCGGAAUCGCUAGUAAUCGCGGAUCAGCACGCCGCGGUGAAUACGUUCCCGGGCCU
rnacentral:rRNA from 1 species